AUUGAACGCUGGCGGCAGGCCUAACACAUGCAAGUCGAACGGUAACAGGAAGAAGCUUGCUUCUUUGCUGACGAGUGGCGGACGGGUGAGUAAUGUCUGGGAAACUGCCUGAUGGAGGGGGAUAACUACUGGAAACGGUAGCUAAUACCGCAUAACGUCGCAAGACCAAAGAGGGGGACCUUCGGGCCUCUUGCCAUCGGAUGUGCCCAGAUGGGAUUAGCUAGUAGGUGGGGUAACGGCUCACCUAGGCGACGAUCCCUAGCUGGUCUGAGAGGAUGACCAGCCACACUGGAACUGAAACACGGUCCAGACUCCUACGGGAGGCAGCAGUGGGGAAUAUUGCACAAUGGGCGCAAGCCUGAUGCAGCCAUGCCGCGUGUAUGAAGAAGGCCUUCGGGUUGUAAAGUACUUUCAGCGGGGAGGAAGGGAGUAAGGUUAAUACCUUGGCUCAUUGACGUUACCCGCAGAAGAAGCACCGGCUAACUCCGUG
rnacentral:rRNA from 1 species